UAGCAGUAUGGAGAGGUAGAGCCUUGAAGAAGUGAUUGGUCUGCCCUCAUGAAUGGAUUAAUCCAUUAAUGGAUUAAUGGGUUAAUGGAUUAUCAUAGGAGGGGAACGGGUGGCUUUAUAUUAGGAGGAAGAGAUACCUGGGCUAACAUGCUCCACUUCCUCAUCAUGUGAUGUCCUGUGCUACCAUGAGACUCUACAGAGUUCCCAGCAGCAAGAAGGCCCUGAGCAGAUAUGGCCCUCUGACCUUGGACUUCUCAGCCUCCGUGACUAAUAAAGAAGGAGAAGUCAACAUUUGGGAAGUGUUUACCAUGGACCAGGAGUCUCCGGAAACUCGAAGAUUAUAAGCAGAAAACUAGCCUGAUACACUUAGCAUAUGCAAAUGCUGUGCCGGAGAGACCACCAAAGCUUGGAUUCCUCCUUCUGACUCUCCAGAGAUAUUUAGGGCCAAGCCUUUCAGCCAGGGCAGAAGGAUUGGUCUCAGUGAUUUUGCAGAAAUCAUAAUUGAAGAAAACGAUGGAAAGGAAGCUUUGAAUAUGGAGUGUUGUUAUUGCACUGACUGGACAACCAGAUGGAGCUAUUCCCAGUGCGCAGCACACAGAUAGAGAAUCUAUUCAACAAUAACUAAAGAGGUAUACAGUUCUAGAACAUUCUGCAACCAGACUUCAGGCACCAGGAGGCCUCCGUAGGCAGGAUUCCUUGGGCUUGGGCUUCUCAGCUGGCUUCCUUGGAGAAAUUUCAUAUGCUGAUUCCUUUCAAUUAUCUGUCAAUUUUCAAAAUGCAAAUAGAAACAUGCAGUCAUCACUUUGGUACUCACCAACUGAUUUCUU
rnacentral:lncRNA from 1 species